rnacentral:lncRNA from 10 species
GCUAUUUUCCAGUGAGCACCCAGUAAAGAGUCCCCAGCUGCCCUCUCCUGCGUCAUCACUCCCGUGUCCCUUUCUACACCCCAUGCUGUGACCACAUCAGCCCACUCACUCUUCCUACUAUAUGUUCUCCCCAUCUCAGUGGCUCCCCUCAUGCUGCAUUCUCUGCCUGGUAUUCUCUCCCUUCCCUCCCUUCCUUCUCUGAAUGUCAAAGUUGAAUUCCUCCACCAGGGUCCAGCUCAAAUGUUACCGCCUGCUUUGGAGCCUCCCCCGCCAGUCCCCAGCCCAGACUCGCCAACUCUGCCACCCCCUCAAUUUGGCAGGGGCUCUUAUCUCAGAAGCUGCUGGAAGAAUUUGGCAUUUUGACCCUAUUUCAUCACUCCUAGGGCAGUCUGGCAGACAAAGAUGCUCCACACAGCAGCUGAGCUCAUUCACAGAAGCACCGCACACACACAAGGCCCCUCCAAAGUGGUUCCCAUGGAUGCUCCUCUCCUCGCCUCCACACAGGAGAGGAAUGAACCUUGUUCCCAGCUGGAACCCCUCUCUGGAUUCCAGAAGUCUGAGAUCUGAAUGCAUAUAAAUCAGCCCUCCUUGAAUUUAUUGAGCCUACUAUGUGCUGCUUUACGGAAGACAGAUGGUAAGAAGCCAGCCUUACUACUUCCAGGACCUCACAGCCCAGGAAGAAAGAAUAUGCCAAAAAGAAGCCCCUGAAGUGUGGCCCCUCCCAGAGGAAGCCAGAGGGAGUCAGCGCCUGGGACCAAGAUCAAGGACCACCUGGUAUUCCUCUCCCUAUGACUUGGAAAUUCCACCAGCUAAACACUGCCAACAACCAGUGGCUUCCCAUCUGGCCUACAGUAAAAACCUAAGAUCCUUAGGAUGCCUACAGGGCUCUUGGUGAUCUCCUUCUCCACAGCCCCUCCUCCAUCCCCCACCCCACUUCUUGUUAUCUCUUUGACAUCAUCUCCUACAACUCUUCCUAAGUCUAGAUUUGAGCUUCUCAAACUUGGCACUCUGGACGUUUUGGGAAGGAUCAUUCUUUGGAGAAUGUGGAGACCGUCCCGUGCAUUGUAGGAUGUUGAACAGCAUCCUUGACUCUCAUAGUGCACACUCCCAUCCCAGCUGUGACAACCCAAAAUGUUUCCAGACAUGGCCAGAUGUCCCCUGCGGGGAGAGGAGCAAAAUGGCCCUGUGAGGACCACUGGUCUAGACCACUCCCGCCAGCCCUGCUGCCCUCCUUGCUGUUCACACUACUACUUCCAGGUCCUUGCACUUGCUCUUCCCUCUACAGGGGUCUCCCCUGCACUUCUUUCUGGUCUUUACUCAAAUGUCACCUGCUCGGUGAGAUCUUACCCAACCAUCCUAUUUAAAAUUGCAACCCAUCCUAAUCAUCCCUAAAACAUUUCCCUCCUUAAUUUUUCUCCAUAGCAUUUAUCACUGUUAGGCAUUCCACAAGUCUUACUCAUUUUUAGUGUCUAUUUACUUCCAUCCAGUAGGAUGUAGCUCUCUGAGGGUGAGAUUUUGUUUGUUUGAUGUUUUGUUUUGGUCUUCUCUGUCCACUGCUGUAUCUCUGGACUUAGAACAAUGACUGGCACACAAAAGGCACUCAAUAAAUAUUCAAUGGAUGGGUGGAUGGCUGGGACAGCUCAAAUUCCUUUCUACCUCAGAAGCUGGUGGGUCAAGAGAGAAGAUAAGCCUGUGUCACUUCUCCAGUGAAUCCAUGGUGUCAUGGAUUCGCUGAAGCCAUGUGUCGGGGUGGACUCUAUACUGGGCCUUUAAGCACUUUACCUCCUCCCACACCAGAGUUUUUUUUUUCUCUCUCUCUCCUUUUUCCUGUCUUUGUUUCUUUUCUUUUUCUUCUCUCCUCUCCUCUUCUCUUUUUCCUUUUGCUUCUCAUAGUCUUGCUCUGUCACCCAGGCUGGAAUACAGUGGCAUAAUCAUGGCUCACUGAAGCCUCAAACUCCUGGGCUCAAAUGAUCCUCCAGCCUCAGCCUCCCAAGUAGCUGGGACUACAGGUGUACACCACCACGUUCAGCUAAUUUUUUUUCCCAUCUUUUUAGAGACAGGGUCUCCUAUGUUGCCCAGGCCGGUCUUGAACUCCUGGCCUCAAGUGGUCAUCCCACCUCAGCCUCUCAAGUAGCUGGAAUUACAGGUGAGAGCCACUGUACUUGGCAAGAGUUUUAUUUAAUUGCCCUUCUUGAGAGAAUAGUGGAAAAUUAUGUGGGACAGGGGCUUUCAGAGCUGGCUAUGAAAAGCAGUCAUUUCUUCUUUUCUUUUUUUCCCCUCUCACAUUCUUUUUAUAGCUGUAUGUAUCAUGCAUGUGCAACCUCAUGUUACCCCUGCCCUUUGGUAAGAAGCCUAUGUUUACAUAUAUAUAUAUUUUACUUAUAUAAUAAUAAUCGUUUAUCUUUUCUGAGUGCUUCCUGAAUGCCAAGUAUUGUGCUAAGUAUAGGGACCCCUUCAUUUAACCCUCCAAACAACACUAUAAGUCUAGUUUUAUUGUUAUUGUCAACUGCUUCUGCAGAUAAACUGCCAUAGCUUCAGUAUCUGAUGCAGAAACACAUAGACACAUAUCUGAAUUUGAAGCCAAACAAGGCUGAGCAUGGUGGCUCAUGCCUGUAAUCCCAACACUUUAGGAGGCCGAGGCAGGAGGAUUGCUUGAGCUCAGGAGUUUGAGACCAGCCUGGCCAUGCAGUGAAAUCU